rnacentral:rRNA from 1 species
GACGAACGCUGGCGGCGUGCUUAACACAUGCAAGUCGAACGGAAAGGCCCUGCUUUUGUGGGGUGCUCGAGUGGCGAACGGGUGAGUAACACGUGAGUAACCUGCCCUUGACUUUGGGAUAACUUCAGGAAACUGGGGCUAAUACCGGAUAGGAGCUCCUGCUGCAUGGUGGGGGUUGGAAAGUUUCGGCGGUUGGGGAUGGACUCGCGGCUUAUCAGCUUGUUGGUGGGGUAGUGGCUUACCAAGGCUUUGACGGGUAGCCGGCCUGAGAGGGUGACCGGCCACAUUGGGACUGAGAUACGGCCCAGACUCCUACGGGAGGCAGCAGUGGGGAAUAUUGCACAAUGGGCGGAAGCCUGAUGCAGCAACGCCGCGUGCGGGAUGACGGCCUUCGGGUUGUAAACCGCUUUCGCCUGUGACGAAGCGUGAGUGACGGUAAUGGGUAAAGAAGCACCGGCUAACUACGUGCCAGCAGCCGCGGUGAUACGUAGGGUGCGAGCGUUGUCCGGAUUUAUUGGGCGUAAAGGGCUCGUAGGUGGUUGAUCGCGUCGGAAGUGUAAUCUUGGGGCUUAACCCUGAGCGUGCUUUCGAUACGGGUUGACUUGAGGAAGGUAGGGGAGAAUGGAAUUCCUGGUGGAGCGGUGGAAUGCGCAGAUAUCAGGAGGAACACCAGUGGCGAAGGCGGUUCUCUGGGCCUUUCCUGACGCUGAGGAGCGAAAGCGUGGGGAGCGAACAGGCUUAGAUACCCUGGUAGUCCACGCUGUAAACGGUGGGUACUAGGUGUGGGGUCCAUUCCACGGGUUCCGUGCCGUAGCUAACGCUUUAAGUACCCCGCCUGGGGAGUACGGCCGCAAGGCUAAAACUCAAAGGAAUUGACGGGGCCCCGCACAAGCGGCGGAGCAUGCGGAUUAAUUCGAUGCAACGCGUAGAACCUUACCUGGGUUUGACAUGGAUCGGGAGUGCUCAGAGAUGGGUGUGCCUCUUUUGGGGUCGGUUCACAGGUGGUGCAUGCCUGUCGUCAGCUCGUGUCGUGAGAUGUUGGGUUAAGUCCCGCAACGAGCGCAACCCUUGUUCACUGUUGCCAGCACGUUAUGGUGGGGACUCAGUGGAGACCGCCGGGGUCAACUCGGAGGAAGGUGGGGAUGACGUCAAGUCCUCAUGCCCCUUAUGUCCAGGGCUUCACGCAUGCUACAAUGGCUGGUACAGAGAGUGGCGAGCCUGUGAGGGUGAGCGAAUCUCGGGAAGCCGGUCUCAGUUCGGAUUGGGGUCUGCAACUCGACCUCAUGAAGUCGGAGUCGCUAGUAAUCGCAGAUCAGCAACGCUGCGGUGAAUACGUUCCCGGGGCU